rnacentral:misc_RNA from 1 species
GUGGGAGGGGGCUUGCCCCCGAUGGCAGUGUGCCAGUCAACAAAUCCAGUGACUGACACACCGCUAUCGGGGGCAAGCCCCCUCCCAC